UAAGCAAAGCAUGAAAUCGUAAGGCUCAACCUUACAACAGUGCUUUGAACUGGGUAACUAGAGUGUGGUAGAGGUAGCUGGAAUUUCUAGUGUAGGAGUGAAAUCCGUAGAUAUUAGAAGGAACACCGAUGGCGUAGGCAGGCUACUGGACCAUUACUGACACUGAGGCACGAAAGCGUGGGGAGCGAACUGGAUUAGAUACCCAGGUAGUCCACGCCGUAAACGAUGGAUGCUA
rnacentral:rRNA from 1 species